rnacentral:rRNA from 1 species
AGUGAACGCUGGCGGUAGGCCUAACACAUGCAAGUCGAACGAGUGGCGGACGGGUGAGUAAUGUCUGGGAAACUGUCCGAUGGAGGGGGAUAACUACUGGAAACGGUAGCUAAUACCGCAUACCAUAGGAUGUGCCCCGAUGGGAUUAGCUUGUAGGUGUGGUAACGGCUCACCUGGGCGACAAUCCCUAGCUGGUUUGAGAGGAUGACCAGCCACACGGGAACUGAGACACGGUCCAGACUCCUACGGGAGGCAGCAGUGGGGAAUAUUGGACAAUGGGCGCAAGCCUGAUCCAGCCAUACCGCGUGGGUGAAGAAGGCCUUCGGGUUGUAAAGCCCUUUUGUUGGGAAAGCGGUACCCAAAGAAUAAGCACCGGCUAACUUCGUGCCAGCAGCCGCGGUAAUUC